rnacentral:rRNA from 1 species
GAUAGGUGGGAGGCUUUGAAGUGUGGACGCCAGUCUGCAUGGAGCCGUCCUUGAAAUACCACCCUUUAAUGGCUGGUGUUCUAACGUAGACCCGUGAACCGGGUUGCGGACAGUGUCUGGUGGGUAGUUUGACUGGGGCGGUCUCCUCCUAAAGCGUAACGGAGGAGCACGAAGGUUGGCUAAUCCUGGUCGGACAUCAGGAGGUUAGUGCAAUGGCAUAAGCCAGCUUGACUGCGAGCGUGACGGCGCGAGCAGGUGCGAAAGCAGGUCAUAGUGAUCCGGUGGUUCUGAAUGGAAGGGCCAUCGCUCAACGGAUAAAAGGUACUCCGGGGAUAACAGGCUGAUACCGCCCAAGAGUUCAUAUCGACGGCGGUGUUUGGCACCUCGAUGUCGGCUCAUCACAUCCUGGGGCUGAAGUAGGUCCCAAGGGUAUGGCUGUUCGCCAUUUAAAGUGGUACGCGAGCUGGGUUUAGAACGUCGUGAGACAGUUCGGUCC